rfam:Betaproteobacteria bacterium RIFCSPLOWO2_12_FTLL_63_13 rifcsplowo2_12_scaffold_18449, whole genome shotgun sequence.
UUGAGCCGUGUGCGUCGAAAGAAGCACGCACGGUUCUUAGGGGGCCGGGCGCGGGCAACCGCGUCCGGCUACCCGAC